UAGGGAAUCUUCCACAAUGGGCGCAAGCCUGAUGGAGCAACACCGCGUGAGUGAAGAAGGGUUUCGGCUCGUAAAGCUCUGUUGUUAAAGAAGAACACGUAUGAGAGUAACUGUUCAUACGUUGACGGUAUUUAACCAGAAAGUCACGGCUAACUACGUGCCAGCAGCCGCGGUAAUACGUAGGUGGCAAGCGUUAUCCGGAUUUAUUGGGCGUAAAGAGAGUGCAGGCGGUUUUCUAAGUCUGAUGUGAAAGCCUUCGGCUUAACCGGAGAAGUGCAUCGGAAACUGGAUAACUUGAGUGCAGAAGGGGAGAGUGGAAUUCCAUGUGUAGCGGUGAAAUGCGUAGAUAUAUGGAGGAACACCGGUGGCGAAAGCGGCUCUCUGGUCUGUAACUGACGCUGAGGCUCGAAAGCGCGGGGAGCAAACAGGAUUAGAUACCCUGGUAGUCCACGCCGUAAACGAUGAGUGCUAGGUGUUGGGUCCUUUCCGGGACUCAGUGCCGCAGCUAACGCAUUAAGCACUCCGCCUGGGGAGUACGACCGCAAGGUUG
rnacentral:rRNA from 1 species